GGCAAGAUGGCCGAGCGGUCUAAGGCGCCAGCUUCAGGUGCUGGUCAAGAAAUUGGCGUGGGUUCGAAUCCCACUCUUGUCA
rnacentral:tRNA from 1 species